rnacentral:rRNA from 1 species
CUUGUAGGCGGUUCGUCGCGUCCGGUGUGAAAGUCCAUCGCUUAACGGUGGAUCCGCGCCGGGUACGGGCGGGCUUGAGUGCGGUAGGGGAGACUGGAAUUCCCGGUGUAACGGUGGAAUGUGUAGAUAUCGGGAAGAACACCAAUGGCGAAGGCAGGUCUCUGGGCCGUCACUGACGCUGAGGAGCGAAAGCGUGGGGAGCGAACA